UACGUAGGUGGCGAGCGUUGUCCGGAUUUACUGGGCGUAAAGGGAGCGUAGGCGGGCUUUUAAGUGAGAUGUGAAAUACUCGGGCUCAACUUGAGUGCUGCAUUUCAAACUGGAAGUCUAGAGUACAGGAGAGGAGAAUGGAAUUCCUAGUGUAGCGGUGAAAUGCGUAGAGAUUAGGAAGAACACCAGUGGCGAAGGCGAUUCUCUGGACUGUAACUGACGCUGAGGCUCGAAAGCGUGGGGAGCAAACAGG
rnacentral:rRNA from 1 species